rnacentral:rRNA from 1 species
AUUGAACGCUGGCGGCAGGCCUAACACAUGCAAGUCGAACGGUAACAGGAAGCAGCUUGCUGCUUCGCUGACGAGUGGCGGACGGGUGAGUAAUGUCUGGGAAGCUGCCUGAUGGAGGGGGAUAACUACUGGAAACGGUAGCUAAUACCGCAUAAUGUCGCAAGACCAAAGAGGGGGACCUUCGGGCCUCUUGCCAUCGGAUGUGCCCAGAUGGGAUUAGCUUGUUGGUGGGGUAACGGCUCACCAAGGCGACGAUUCCUAGCUGGUCUGAGAGGAUGACCAGCCACACUGGAACUGAGACACGGUCCAGACUCCUACGGGAGGCAGCAGUGGGGAAUAUUGCACAAUGGGCGCAAGCCUGAUGCAGCCAUGCCGCGUGUAUGAAGAAGGCCUUCGGGUUGUAAAGUACUUUCAGCGGGGAGGAAGGGAGUAAAGAUAAUACCUUUGCUCAUUGACGUUACCCGCAGAAGAAGCACCGGCUAACUCCGUG